rnacentral:sRNA from 1 species
CCAGAGCAGCUGAGUUCCAGAUAAAAACCGUCAGACCCGGCCUGUAGGCUGCUCCAUUGCCAAUGAACUCCAUGAACCCCAUGAAACCUGCCCUGCCCCCCGCGCCACACGGUGAUGGUUCAUUCGCGUAUGAGUCUGUGCCUUGGCAACAAAGCGCCACUCAGCCGGCUGGAUCGCUGUCCGUGGUCACUACUGUGUGGGGAGUUGGCAACGCGACACAGAGCCAGGUAAGCACCCACUGGUGCCCCACCCCCGAGCAGACAGAGCCUCCCAGCACUUGGCAGUGCUUAGUGCCUCCUCAGAGCUCUGAGAGACGAAGAGGCUGAGAGGUGAGGACAGAGAGGCUGAGGCAUGACAUGAGGAUGGGGCCUCCUGAGUCCCCUAAGUCUUUGGACACUGGUUCUCUUUCCACACCUGCUGUGGGAUUUUCUUCUCCUGUCUUCACCUAGCCUUCACAAAAUGCCCCAACCUACCUGUGGACAGCUGCUUUCCCUGCUUCCCGUGCUAUACCCUGUCCCCCCCACCUCUCCCCCAACCCGCUUGCCAGGCCUGUUGGUUUCUAGCACUUUGGAGCUGCUGCAUGAAGCACGUUGUUUGGCUGGUUCCCUUUGGUGAUUCCUGCUUCCUCAUAGGUUUUGGGGAACCCCAUGGGCCCUGCAGGGAGUCCCUCUGGCAGCU